rnacentral:rRNA from 1 species
UACAAUGGCGUAAACAAAGGGAGGCGAAGCCGCGAGGUGGAGCAAAUCCCAAAAAUAACGUCUCAGUUCGGAUUGUAGUCUGCAACUCGACUACAUGAAGCUGGAAUCGCUAGUAAUCGCGAAUCAGAAUGUCGCGGUGAAUACGUUCCCGGGUCUUGUACACACCGCCCGUCACACCAUGGGAGUCAGCAACGCCCGAAGCCGGUGACCCAACCGAAAGGAGGGAGCCGUCGAAGGUGGGGCCGAUAACUGGGGUGAAGUCGUAACAAGGUACC